rnacentral:misc_RNA from 1 species
GAUGAAGAACGUAGCGAAAUGCGAUAAGUAAUGUGAAUUGCAGAAUUCAGUGAAUCAUCGAAUCUUUGAACGCACAUUGCGCCCGCCAGUAUUCUGGCGGGCAUGCCUGUCCGAGCGUCAUUUCAACCCUCGAACCCCUCCGGGGGGGUCGGCGUUGGGGAUCGGCCCCUCACCGGGCCGCCCCCGAAAUCCAGUGGCGGUCUCGCCGCAGCCUCUCCUGCGCAGUAGUUUGCACACUCGCACCGGGAGCGCGGCGCGGCCACAGCCGUAAAACACCCCAAACUCUGAAAUGUUGACCUCGGAUCAGGUAGGAAUACCCGCUGAACUUAAGCAUAUCAAUAAGCGGAGGA